CGGCCUCAGCUCAGGCGAGACGACCCGCUUGACUUAAGCAUAUUAGUCAGCGGAGGAAAAGAAACUAACAAGGAUUCCCCUAGUAGCGGCGAGCGAAGAGGGAUAAGCCCAGCACUAAGGGUCAAUUGAAUCCUUCGGGAGGCAAUUUCGACCGAUGCAGUGUUUGGGAGCCUCGUAAGACCGUCGUUUGUCCAGUCUAAAGUCCUCAUGAAUGUGGCCCGAUUGCCCAGAGAGGGUGUCAGGCCCGUAGGACGGAUGAACGCUCGGCAUUCCGAGGUCUCUCUAGAGUCGUGUUGCUUGAGAAUGCAGCGCUAAUCAGGUGGUAAACUCCAUCUAAGGCUAAAUACGAAUGUGAGACCAAUAGAAGACAAGUACCGCGAGGGAAAGUUGAAAAGAACUUUGAAGAGAGAGUUAAACAUUGCGUGAAAUCCUCCAGGGGUUUAAAACGGAAGGACUUUCGAAGUUCGAGCCAUCUUCGGGAUCAUCGUUGCGGGUGGCGAGUGCUAAUGUGAUCGCUGAGGGCAGCCUCGGCUGUUCUCUGGUCAUGUUGGUCAUCUACGUUGCUCAC
rnacentral:ncRNA from 1 species